rfam:Triticum aestivum genome assembly, contig: Triticum_aestivum_CS42_TGACv1_scaffold_321117_4BL
CUGUUACUCCCUCCGUCCGAAAAUACUUGUCAUCAAAAUGGCUAAAAGAUGAUGUAUCUAAACGUAUUUUAGUUUUAAAUAUAUCAUUUUUUAUUCAUUUUUAUGACAAGUAUUUUCGGACGGAGGGAGUACCAU